UUAAUUGAAGAGUUUGAUCAUGGCUCAGAUUGAACGCUGGCGGCAGGCCUAACACAUGCAAGUCGAGCGGUAACAGAAAGUAGCUUGCUACUUUGCUGACGAGCGGCGGACGGGUGAGUAAUGCUUGGGAACAUGCCUUGAGGUGGGGGACAACAGUUGGAAACGACUGCUAAUACCGCAUAAYGUCUACGGACCAAAGGGGGCUUCGGCUCUCGCCUUUAGAUUGGCCCAAGUGGGAUUAGCUAGUUGGUGAGGUAAUGGCUCACCAAGGCGACGAUCCCUAGCUGGUUUGAGAGGAUGAUCAGCCACACUGGGACUGAGACACGGCCCAGACUCCUACGGGAGGCAGCAGUGGGGAAUAUUGCACAAUGGGCGCAAGCCUGAUGCAGCCAUGCCGCGUGUGUGAAGAAGGCCUUCGGG
rnacentral:rRNA from 1 species